CCUCCUUAUUUCCCUAAUGAACGUACCGUAUGUUACCGGCACUCCCUUGUGCUGUGUAGUUCUUGUGUUGAAAAUUAGAACAGACCCACCUGCAAGGAUAUGAUAAUACAAUUCACCUUAUUGUAUCCACCUUAGUACCUAUUUCCACAUGCCGUAUAUAUGAAACAAUGGUACCCUUCCCUUCCCCCUUAAUUGUUACUACCACCGAAAUUAUACGUGAUUUAUGUCUAUUUAGUUACCUAUAGUUGUGAACAGACCGCUAUAAACGUAUACGCCCGCCUACUAGUUUAUUUAUAUGCUCUGUCAAAUAUUCUCUUAACCGAUUUAUUAAAGAAAAUAUUAUUGUGGAUAUUCCUUAAAUAUUUAAUGACUUAGCCCGUAUUGGUGAUGAAGUUACCCGACUUAUACAGUUAUUAUGUUAUACUUUAAUACAUAUACACAGAAAUCAUACUUCGUUUUAAACUGUUGCAUACAUAGAGUGCAAUACGUUAAAUUCGCCUGUAGGUGGCAGUGUUACUGUGAGAGUAGGAAGGGGAGAAAGAAAAGAAAAAAACAGAGUGUUGUAACGUAUAGUAAUUCGUGUUUGUCAUUCGUGUGUUAUGGAAGCCAUAUUCAUGCAUUUAGACCUGGUUGGAUUCGUGUGUUUAGAACCGAAUGUAAAGCGUUCGCGGAAUUUUAAGACCUAUUCGUAUGUGUUCCCCUUUCCCUCGUCUGUUGGAUUCGUGUAAUUACUGUUCGCCCAGACGUGUCGAAUGUUGUAUUUAGUUCGUGAGUUUGAGCGUUCGUAUGCCCGUACUCACGAUUACCGGUCCCUUGACCCCGGAAGUGCGACCCGGCGCUCCGGAAGUUCUUGGUGGCGUGUGCAGUCGGCGAGCCCGCCGUGAACGAGGGUAUCUGCUACCGCCGAGCCUGAUUAACGGAAGGUGAUCCUGCUGCUGUGAAGGCUGAUGACCUGGUGUAGUUGAUUCCCGCCGUCUGGACCGGAACCGGAAGUGACCAAGCGUUGUCAGCAAGGUAUGGAGGUAAGUAGUGAGUUUAUAUAGGCCGGUUGCAACCCCUCCCACAACUCCAGGCUCCGCCUUCCCA